GACAGAGGAUGCAAGCGUUAUCCGGAAUGAUUGGGCGUAAAGGGCGCGUAGGCGGCUCGUGAAGUCAGUGGUGAAAGCCCAGGGCUCAACUCUGGGUCGGCCACUGAUACUCGCGAGCUCGAGUUUGGUAGAGGCAGAUGGAAUUCCGGGUGUAGCGGUGGGAAUGCGUAGAUAUUCGCAAGAACACCAGUGGCGAAGGCGGCUCACUGGCCCGGUACUGACGCUGAGGUGCGAAAGCGUGGGGAGCAAACAGG
rnacentral:rRNA from 1 species